AUGCAAAGAACUUUGAAAAGAGAGUUAAAGAGUACCUGAAAUUGCCGCAAGUCAAGCGAAGGAAACCAGUUGCAGACCCUGGGCUAUGCAUCAUUUGUCUACAAGUGAUGCUUUGCCUAGUAGCAGUCACUGUCAGUUAAUAUUUGUUCAAGUUUUGUUUCAGGAGAAAUCCCUUAGGGGUGAUUGCCUGUUACUUUACGCUAAUAUUGACUGAGGGCAGUUAAUUCUGUGGCAGUGGCAAAAUGGUUUUCUUUGUCCCGUCUUGAAACACGGACCAAGGAGUCCAAUGUACAUGCGAGUGCAAGGGUGACAAACCUGCGUGCGUAAUGAAAGUAUCAUUGGUUGGACCCGCAAGGGGCACAAUCUGCCGGCUUCAAUCCCUCGGGAGAAAGGUCUGAGUGUGAGCAUGUGUGUUGGGACCCGAAAGAUGGUGAACUAUGCCUGAAUAGGACGAAGCCAGGGGAAACUCUGGUGGAGGUUCGUAGCAGUUUUGACGUGCAAAUCGAUUGUCAAAUUUGGGCAUAGGGGCGAAAGACCAAUCGAACCAUCUAGUAGCUGGUUCCCUCCGAAAUUUCCCUCAGGAUAGCUGCAACCAAACAUUUUUAUCA
rnacentral:rRNA from 1 species